GUCUUUGUAGUACAAUGGGUAGUGCGUUGGACUUCUAAUCCAAAAGUCCUGGGCUCGAAUCCCACCUGGGAUG